rnacentral:rRNA from 1 species
UACGUAGGGGGCUAGCGUUGUCCGGAAUCAUUGGGCGUAAAGCGCGCGUAGGCGGCCCAGUAAGUCCGUUGUAAAAGUCAAAGGCUCAACCUUUGAAAGCCGAUGGAUACUGCUGGGCUAGAGUCCGGAAGAGGCGAGUGGAAUUCCUGGUGUAGCGGUGGAAUGCGUAGAGAUCAUGAGGAAGACCAGUGGCGAAGGCGGGUCUCUGGACAGUUCCUGACACUGAGACACGAAGGCCAGGGGAGCAAACGGG